UACGUAGGGGGCAAGCGUUGUCCGGAUUUAUUGGGCGUAAAGAGCGUGUAGGCGGCUUUGCAAGUCCGUUGUGAAAACUCGAGCUCAACCUCGAGACGCCGGUGGAAACUGCAAAGCUAGAGUCCGGAAGAGGAGAGUGGAAUUCCUGGUGUAGCGGUGGAAAUGCGCAGAUAGUCAGGAAGAACACCCGUGGCGGAAGGCGGCUCUCUGGGACGGUACUGACGCUGAGACGCGAAAGCGUGGGGAGCGAACAGG
rnacentral:rRNA from 1 species